UCUAUGUCGUAUGUUACAUCCACAAUCAAGUGAUUUAGGAACAUAAUUAAUGUGUAUGUAAGUCGAUAUUUAAACCUGACCUAUAAUGAAAUAUUCAAAUGUAAUUAAAAAUUAAAUAAAAAUUUAUGGAAAUAUUAGCCAAACUAAAGCUACAGAAGUCGUCAAAUCCCAAAAAAUAAGCAGUGUUACUGGCUUGUAAGAAAAUCAACAGCGGUUCGCUAGACGUCAAAAUGGUGCUAGUUGUCAGGCUUUUCUUUCUGUCGUAGUUUCAAAAAUACGAAAAAUAAGUGUAUGGCAUCAGAUAUUUUAUGUAUUAACAUACAACCAUUGUGUUUUUGUUUUAAAAUUUAACAAAAGUAAAGCUUUUCGUGAUGCACUUAGUUCAAAUAACAUAAUUUUAUCAUUUUGAAAUGGCGGAUGACACGAAUCGUCGCGACGCAAUAAAUAUGGCCGCUGAAAUGGUUUAAUUACGUAACACUUUAUCAAAAAUCAAUGAUUUUUGGUCUAAAAGAGGACUACGUUUAAAUACAGAUAAAGUUACGUUGGCAGCAUUGGACGAGCUUGAAUGUUGGCAGUAUACAAAAAGGCGGGCUUUUCAAAAUAUCGCUGUAAAAUUUGGUUCAUUGAAUCCUUUCUGGUUAAACUUUUUUAAUAAAAAUACUAAUUUAUGUACAAAAUUAAUGACUUUAUACAAUAAACAACUAUAUAACACUAUAAAUUGUUUACAAUUACAUGUUAUAUAAAUGUCAUCCGAAUGCUAAACAUGGUGAAAUACAAUUAUUCUGUAAAUGUUUCCGAUAUUUAUUCUUUUAUUAUUCUUUAAUUAUUAUCUUUAAAAAAAAGUUCUUUCUAACAUCUAAAAAAAAUAAUAUAAAAAAUACUUUGUAAAUUCCAUAAAAUAAAACUCACUAUUUUUGUUUUACACUAAUUGACCUGAAUAUUGCUUACUUUUUUGUUACUACACUAUCAACAUUAACUGAUUAAACAUUAUUUUACCUUAACCUUAAUAAAAAAGAGCCAUAAUUUAACCCAAACAGGAGCAUUUGUAACAACCGGUAGGAGUAAGACUCUUGUAAGUUUGAUUAUUAGUGGCCGAGUUAGCUAACACAUCCUAAGUGAAGCCCCGUGAUUCAAAUCUAAGGGUAUCGCUAUCCAAAUCCGAAACUUAGCGCUAAAUAGCAGUCUCGUUUGUCUAGAUCUUAUUGGAUUUCAAGAGUGCCGAAAAGCGAAAAGUUAUUAAAGCGGUUAUUAAAUUAAUAUUAAAAUUGGAGUAUGCUUGUCAUUAAUAAUUCUCUCGUCUAAUAGAACUCCUAAACUGUAUAUAAAAAUAAAUAUGUGAUAUAAACAAGUA